rnacentral:misc_RNA from 1 species
UUGGCUUCCAAUCCUACCUAAAGAGCGAAAAAAUUGACUAUUGUGAUAGUUCUUGUAUGGUAGGCUUGAUUCAGUUCAUAUAUGUAACUCUAAUGUGGAUGCUUCUGGGGGAGUCAUCCACUGACAGACAGAUCGCAUCCCACUUCACCCCAUCAUUUUUUAGCACUUAUCAACCUAAAAAAUAAGCAUAAAACUAUACAUCAGCCUACACCUACACCUGCACGUCUAUGACCAAAGCAAAAGACUAUUUAAAGUUAUAAUAGUAGCACAAGAAAAGAAAAAGGCAGAGAGGCAGGAUUCCAAAGAUUUUGCGGGUCAACGUGGCAUUUAUCGGAUUCGAUGAGCGGGAAUUUUCUACCGUGGAUUCCAUGGUCAGCUGUUUCUUACACGAGCAAGGGACCGGAGGGCAUAUAUGUCAUUCCAAAAGUUUCCAUUCAACGUUCAUUAAUUUGAGAUUUUAUAAUUUGAAAACUACUCCAGUUGAAUUUUCUAUGAGAUUUCUAAUCAGAAGCGCGAAAGGUGUGCUCUGCGGGAUGAUACAAAAUUAAGAAAUUAAACAUUGUUUUGCUUUGUGUUCUGGGUAGCAGGAGGAUUCUUUAAUUUUCCUUUGUGUGGCGUCAUGAUGGGACGUCUGAAUAGUUCAACUCGAAUUAUUGGUGACGGCCCACUGAAAUUGCUUCGUAGGCAAG